GGUCCAAGAGGCAGGGCAGACAGCAGACACAGGACAGAGCGAAUAAAUCAGCUCGAGGCAUAGGGCAGAAUAAUGAGGUUUGUAGUAGUGACUGGAGUGGUAAGAGUGAUCAAUAGUGGUAAAGGGGGGGGGUUUCCUCCUGGUACCACAAUUGGGUGAUUCUGGAGUAAUAGUGUGCAUGGUGAUUAGGUCAGUGUGGGACAACAGAAGUCAGUCUGCAGCUUUGUUGGGAUCCAUAUGGGGUGACUUAGUCUGACAAAAGUAAGCAUGGUGACAGAUGUCAAAUUGGCAUUGCACGGCAAUGAAGGUUAGGGUCCAGUAAUGGUGGGGACUAGUGUCAGUGGCGAUCGGGUAAUAGCGAGGUAGAGAUAUCAUGAAAAGUUGGGGGCGAGGGCAGGCAAUGAAGGGCUAGGUAGUAAGUCACCAGUCUGAACUCCACUACCCGCUCCCAAAGACAGUACUAUGCGCAUGCCCAUAGCUAACUGCAUUUUCCCAGCAUGCUCUUUAGACCCCUAUCUGCCCAGGCCACCUCAAAGCGGGCGUGCUCCUACACCAUACUACUACCUACGCAUGCUCACCUCCUGCAUGCUCACGCAGCCGCACCAGCACCAGCCAAGUUCUCCGCCCAGCCUCACUCAUCGCCAUAGCUCAUGCACCACCGAUAAACAGAAUUUACAAUGUUGAAAUUCAAGAUGUAAACCCAGCAUGGUGGUAAUCUUAUACGAGAAGGUAGGAGGAUCAUGUGUUCAAAUCCAGCCUUGCCUACAGACGGAUUCAAUUCCAGGCCAGUGAGAUCUUACCUCAAAAAGCAAUCAACCAAUCAAAGAGACUCAAGUGAGGAUUGGAACAUGAAGUCAGAAGUGAAAUUUCACCAUUUCCUGAUGGGAAGAUAUUUACCUCUGAAAUCAAAGUUCUCAAAACCUCCAACCUUCAUGGUGACAACUCUCCAUGGCCUGCCUGAGUCAGAAACAACAUUCUUCCAGUUGAGAAAAGCCUCCAGAGAUCACUCAAAUGGUCUC